UCUGCGCCAACAACUGCGGCUUCUACGGAAACCCCGCCACCAACAACAUGUGCCUCACCUGCUUCAAGGCCUCGGCCGCCGCGGCCGCGUCCUCCUUUUCCUCCCCCUCCGCCCCCGCCGCGGCGGAGGUGGCGGUGAUCUCCUCUCCUCCGGCGCCGUGCUCCGCCGACGACAAGCCGGGAUCGGGCCCUGCCCGAAUCUCGGCGGCGGAGGGAACGGCGGCGGGGAGGCGGGUGAGCCGGUGCUCGGCUUGCCGGAGAAAGGUGGGGUUGACGGGGUUCCGGUGCCGGUGCGGCGAGCUCUUCUGCGGCGAGCACCGCUACUCCGACCGACAUGCGUGCGCCUUCGACUACAAGGCCGCGGCGCGAGAAGCGAUCGCCCGGGAGAACCCCGUCG
rnacentral:lncRNA from 1 species